rnacentral:rRNA from 1 species
UACGUAGGGCGCAAGCGUUGUCCGGAAUUAUUGGGCGUAAAGAGCUCGUAGGCGGUGUGUCGCGUCGGCCGUGAAAACCUGCAGCUUAACUGUGGGCUUGCGGUCGAUACGGGCAUCACUGGAGUUCGGCAGGGGAGACUGGAAUUCCUGGUGUAGCGGUGAAAUGCGCAGAUAUCAGGAGGAACACCUGUGGCGAAGGCGGCCCCCUGGUUGGAUACUGACGCUGAGACGCGAAAGCGUGGGGAGCAAACAGG